rnacentral:rRNA from 1 species
CCUACGGGAGGCAGCAGUGGGGGAUAUUGCACAAUGGGGGAAACCCUGAUGCAGCGACGCCGCGUGGGCGAAGAAGUAUUUCGGUAUGUAAAGCUCUAUCAGCAGGGAAGAAGAAAUGACGGUACCUGAGUAAGAAGCACCGGCUAAAUACGUGCCAGCAGCCGCGGUAAUACGUAUGGUGCAAGCGUUAUCCGGAUGUACUGGGUGGAAAGGGAGCGCAGGCGGCACGGCAAGCCUGAUGUGAAAGCCCGCGGCCCUACCGCGGGACUGCAGUGGGAACUACCGGGCUGGAGUGCCGGAGAGGUAGGCGGAAUUCCUAGUGUAGCGGUGAAAUGCGUAGAUAUUAGGAGGAACACCAGUGGCGAAGGCGGCCUACUGGACGGUGACUGACGCUGAGGCUCGAAAGCGUGGGGAGCAAACAGGAUUAGAUACCCUUGUAGUC